rnacentral:rRNA from 1 species
GUGAGGAAUAUUGGUCAAUGGCCGUAAGGCUGAACCAGCCAAGUAGCGUGAAGGAUGACCGCCCUACGGGUCGUAAACUUCUUUUAUAAGGGAAUAACACCUCCCACGUGUGGGAGGCUGCAUGUACCUUAUGAAUAAGCAUCGGCUAACUCCGUGCCAGCAGCCGCGGUAAUACGGAGGAUGCGAGCGUUAUCCGGAUUUAUUGGGUUUAAAGGGAGCGCAGACGGGCGAUUAAGUCAGUUGUGAAAUGCCGCGGCUCAACCGUGGACUUGCAGUUGAUACUGGUUGCCUUGAGUGCGGUUGAGGCACGCGGAAUUCGUGGUGUAGCGGUGAAAUGCUUAGAUAUCACGAAGAACCCCGAUUGCGAAGGCAGCGUGCCAAGCCGUUACUGACGUUCAUGCUCGAAGGUGCGGGUAUCAAACAGGAUUAGAAACCCUAGUAGUCC